AGUUUUGCUUCUCUCUUGGCGCUUUCCUUCCAUCUAAUCCUUAAAACAGAGAAGCAAACUCAUCUUCUCGUUUUCUAAAGUGGAAUAUAUAUAGCUGCUAAGUUACUGAUCAUGAGGGCAUCGUCAGUGUUGUUUGUCGCCUUCUUGUGGGUUUUGGCCGGUGUGGAAGUUGAUGCAAGAUGCCUUCCCUUAGAGGAUAAGCGCAGACUGAUCAUGGCUGAGCGUCAGCUCCUGAGUGAGAUAAAUACGGGUGCUUAUAAUGCUGAUGCUGGAACCACUACUACUGAUGAUGAUGCUGCAAAUUCAAACUAUAACAAGUAUGGCAAUCCUUCUGGCUCAGGUUCUGAAACUCACCAUAGAUUUACGAGUGAUCAGAAACCUAUCAAGAUCUAAUACCUCUAUGUUAUUUCGAAUGAGCUUGCAUGAAAACACAUAAAAAUUAUAAUGUACUGCUUUGUGUUCAUAUGAAGCUCCUCCUUGUUACAGGUUUCUAUAUAAGCCGGUUGUUAUAUGUAAUAAUUAAAAUUAUGAUGAAAUAAAGAGGCCAUGAAUUGAUGAUCGCUAGCAUGGUUUUGUGUC